AAAUGACUCUCGACAACGGAUAUCUCGGCUCUCGCAUCGAUGAAGAACGUAGCAAAAUGCGAUA
rnacentral:rRNA from 1 species